GUUGGAGACAGUGCAGUCCAGUAAGACCCGAGUGUUUUCCAGAGCUGUUUUGUCUUGCAGCGGCUUUACAAUAUUCACAGGAAGUCCUGCAAGAAAAGCGUGGUGGCAGCGUAGUACUGAAAGACAGUAAGCAAUGAGUCGACAGCAUGGAGAAUGGACACACCAGCUUGCAGCAAUGUUAUAGUUUUAUGACUGUCAAGAUAUUCUUUCUUUACCGUAAACUUCCACAGAGCAGGAAGUGGUGGCAUCUCCCGCAUCGCACACAUAUACACCCGAAUCUCCAAGCUCACAUCUCAAGAUCUGCAGGAAGCACUUCCUCCCCAUGGAGUAGAUACGAUGAUUCUUCCCUGGCUUAAGUUCUUCUCCAUUCUAGGUCAGACAAGACCACCACUGAACUUCAGGCUAACAAAAUAUUUCAAACCUAUCUAUGACAGAUCAUAUCGUGAUGAAAAUGAAACGUAACGUACAUAACCGCAUGUGGUUAAGCAAUAUGUAUUAUAAGGUUAACAUGUUACUAAUACCCAUCAAAUACGACUACUACUGCUACUACUACUACUCCUCAUAAUAAUAACAAAGCCACUUAUUGUAAUAAUAAGGAUUAGUUGUGAAAGUCUUUUAUUUAUGUAAUUCUGCAGUCUUUCUUACCUUUGUCCACUUGACAGUGACAUUGUAUUUGGACAGCUCACACUCCAGGGUGGCUCCUGUACCCUCUGGGAAAGUGCUGUCCUCCAGCUUUUUCAGAAUGGACACUGGUAUUUCUGAACAAAUUGAUUGGAAAAAGUGGGUUGGAACUCCGCCUUCCGCCACGCUUCUCGUUCUCGUUCUACAUGUGAGAUGCCCACUUUGCGGCGCGUAAACACAUCAUGAACUCUAUCGUCAAUAUCACGGGAUGACAAAUUCUAUUCUUGGGGAGGAAUUGUACUGGUAUAUCAUGGACAAUACAACAUGGCACAGCCCUAUUCAUGAGCAAUGUAAAAGGUGAGGGUAAGUGACAAAUGAAUCAGGUCAGUGGCGGCAGAGCUACAGUCACUGUCUUGGUCUGUGGUGGUAAAGCAGGUUUUCAGUUUUCCAAUAAAGCUCUCUGUUUUGGUCACUAUAGAUCCCUGGCAGUAUAGGAAGUCUUAAAUGAGCUUCCUCUGCUGGGUUGCUGGGCUUAUUCUCCAUGAAAGGAUGACGAACUCAGUAAUCUGGAAUAGCCCUGGAACAGAGCUGAGAGGGAUAGAAAAGUCUGGGCUGACCUUCUUAACCUGUUGCCACCCGAAACUCCACCCCUCCACCAGGUAAAGCGGAAGAAAAAUGAAUGAAUGAAUGAAUGAACCUGGUACAUAUAUGAUGUUUUUCUUCUUGUAAGUCAGGCACUGGCAUAGUUAACUUUCACAAUUUAUUUUCUCAUAAUUUGGCAUUUGUAUACCUUUUAU